AACGAACGCUGGCGGCAGGCUUAACACAUGCAAGUCGAACGCAUCCUUCGGGGGGAGUGGCAGACGGGUGAGUAACGCGUGGGACCGGGCCUUUCAGUUCGGGUUACCCAGGGGAAACUUGGGCAAUACCCGGAACGGUGCGAGGGCAGAAAGAUUUAUGGUUGAGGAACAGGCCCGCGCCUGAUUAGCUAGUUGGGGGGGUAAUGGCCCACCAAGGCGACGAUCAGUAGCUGGUCUGAGAGGAUGAUCAGCCACACUGGGACUGAGACACGGCCCAAACUCCUACGGGAGGCAGCAGUGGGGAAUAUUGGACAAUGGGCGCAAGCCUGAUCCAGCCAUGCCGCGUGAGUGAUGAAGGCCUUAGGGUUGUAAAGCUCUUUCGUCCGGGACGAUAAUGACGGUACCGGAAGAAGAAGCCCCGGCUAACUUCGUGCCAGCCGCCGCCGUAA
rnacentral:rRNA from 1 species